CAGUCGCCGCGGUAAAACGAAGGGGGCUAGCGUUGUUCGGAAUUACUGGGCGUAAAGCGCACGUAGGCGGAUAUUUAAGUCAGGGGUGAAAUCCCGCAGCUCAACUGCGGAACUGCCUUUGAUACUGGGUAUCUUGAGUAUGGAAGAGGUUAGUGGAAUUGCGAGUGUAGAGGUGAAAUUCGUAGAUAUUCGCAGGAACACCAGUGGCGAAGGCGGCUAACUGGUCCAUAACUGACGCUGAGGUGCGAAAGCGUGGGGAGCAAACAGGAUUAGAUACCCGAGUAGUCCCUGUCUCUUAUAA
rnacentral:rRNA from 1 species